rnacentral:rRNA from 1 species
AGCGAACGCUGGCGGCAGGCUUAACACAUGCAAGUCGAGCGGGCACUUUCGGGUGUCAGCGGCGGACGGGUGAGUAACGCGUGGGAACGUGCCCUCUGGUUCGGAAUAACUCAGGGAAACUUGAGCUAAUACCGGAUACGCCCUUUUGGGGAAAGGCUUGCUGCCGGAGGAUCGGCCCGCGUCUGAUUAGCUAGUUGGUGAGGUAACGGCUCACCAAGGCGACGAUCAGUAGCUGGGCUGAGAGGAUGAUCAGCCACACUGGGACUGAGACACGGCCCAGACUCCUACGGGAAGCAGCAGUGGGGAAUAUUGGACAAUGGGCGCAAGCCUGAUCCAGCCAUGCCGCGUGAGUGAUGAAGGCCUUAGGGUUGUAAAGCUCUUUUAUCCGGGACGAUAAUGACGGUACCGGAGGAAUAAGCCCCGGCUAACUUCGUG